CUGGCGGCGUGCCUAAUACAUGCAAGUCGAACGAGCUCUCCUAAAUUGAUUUUAUGCUUGCAUAAAUGAUUUUUAGAUUCGGAGCGAGUGGCGAACUGGUGAGUAACACGUGGGUAACCUGCCCCGAAGCGGGGGAUAACAUUUGGAAACAAAUGCUAAUACCGCAUAAUUAGUUGGAACCGCAUGGUUCCAACUUGAAAGAUGGCUCUGCUAUCACUUUGGGAUGGACCCGCGCCGUAUUAGUUAGUUGGUGAGAUAAAAGCCCACCAAGACGAUGAUACGUAGCCGACCUGAGAGGGUAAUCGGCCACAUUGGGACUGAGACACGGCCCAGACUCCUACGGGAGGCAGCAGUAGGGAAUCUUCCACAAUGGACGAAAGUCUGAUGGAGCAACGCCGCGUGAGUGAUGAAGGUUUUCGGAUCGUAAAACUCUGUUGUUAAAGAAGAACAAGUGUUAGAGUAACUGUUAACACUUUGACGGUA
rnacentral:rRNA from 2 species